rfam:Arachidicoccus sp. BS20, complete genome.
GGGGCUGUAUUGGUUUUGACAGCAUCAGUAGCGGUAAGUGUAAGCAUGCAGCGCGUUGUGUAAUUAGCGCUUUAAUCUGAAUACUCAAAAUUCAAAUGGCAACACUCAGUUUGCUAUGGCUGCCUAAUUAGUUAAUUAGACAUCCGUUCGGGCCGCGUUGAGCAGGUUGGUCUGCUGCCAAGCUCCGCCGCCGACUCAAAUCAAAAUGCAGAUUGCUGCAACCUCAGGCUGUGCCGGUUGCAAAAGAUUUAUUCAGCUAAGUGAAAGAUUGGUUGGUUUAUUUCCUGUCUUUCGCCGACAAAUAAUAAUAAACUAAGCAUGUAGAAAGCUUAUGGCAACGAUGUUUGGACGCGAGUUCGACUCUCGCCAGCUCCACAA